GACGAACGCUGGCGGCGUGCUUAACACAUGCAAGUCGAACGGAAAGGCCCUGCUUUUGUGGGGUGCUCGAGUGGCGAACGGGUUAGUAACACGUUAGUAACCUGCCCUUGACUUUGGGAUAACUUCAGGAAACUGGGGCUAAUACCGGAUAGGAGCUCCUGCUGCAUGGUGGGGGUUGGAAAGUUUCGGCGGUUGGGGAUGGACUCGCGGCUUAUCAGCUUGUUGGUGGGGUAGUGGCUUACCAAGGCUUUGACGGGUAGCCGGCCUGAGAGGGUGACCGGCCACAUUGGGACUGAGAUACGGCCCAGACUCCUACGGGAGGCAGCAGUGGGGAAUAUUGCACAAUGGGCGGAAGCCUGAUGCAGCAACGCCGCGUGCGGGAUGACGGCCUUCGGGUUGUAAACCGCUUUCGCCUGUGACGAAGCGUGAGUGACGGUAAUGGGUAAAGAAGCACCGGCUAACUACGUG
rnacentral:rRNA from 1 species